ACGACAAGCAGUCUUCAAACGCGGAAUCCGCGACGGAAUCGUCCGAUAGUCUUCGCGCUAAGUCUACGCGAUUAACACGCCAACGGCCUUCUACAAUUUUUUCUCACUUUCUUUGUUACGAACGAGCGGCGCGAAGGUGUUACGUGUGGGAGAGAUAUAUACGCGUGUAUACACGACGAUUCAAGUUCGUAUAAAUCGGACAAAAGAGCCUUUGAUGCGGAUUGUCGCGAUCAUACGUAGGAUUGUACUGGCGGAUUGUUCCGAGGAAACGGGCGAUCGAUUAUCUAACAUGUCUGAGCACAACCCGGAAAUGAGGGCUACAGCAGCGCGCAUUUGCCGUGAUUAUUUGCAUGGAGUAUGGAAGCACGUUACCCCAGACAACAUUGUUCUGAAGAGGAUUAGCGGUGGUCUGAGCAACUGGCUAUACAAUGUCCAAUUACCCGAGGGCGCGAUACCGGUUCGUGGCGAGCCCAGACAGGUUCUUCUGCGACUCUACGGUCAAGUGCAUGGCGAGCGAGCCUUCGAGGGCCUGAUCACCGAAUCCGUCAUCUUCACACUUCUUUCAGAGAGGCGGCUUGGUCCCAAGCUUCACGGUAUCUUCCCCGGUGGCAGGAUCGAGGAGUACAUACCAGCUCGUCCCUUACUCACUAAAGAGUUGGCUGAUCCUUGCAUCAGUUCGCUCAUCGCCGAGAAAAUGGCACAGAUACACACGAUGCAGGUGCCCAUCAGCAAGGAACCCACUUGGCUCUGGGAUACGAUGUACAAGUGGCUGGACACCGCGACGAACAUACUGGAAAACGUCGAGGAUAUCGAAAGCAAACAACUUGAUCACGUGACCUUCAUCAAAAGCAUCGAUCUGGAACAGGAGAUAUCCUGGUUCAGAUCGCUAGUCAAACAACAAAAGCAUCCUGUUGUCUUCUGUCAUAACGACAUGCAGGAGGGCAACAUUCUUAUGCGACAAAACUCGAAGACUGAACUCGUGGUCAUCGACUUUGAAUACUGUUCUUACAACUACAGGGGCUUCGAUGUGGCAAACCACUUCCUCGAAUGGCAGUACGACUACACGUCGGCGGACUAUCCAUUCUUCACCGAGAGAUCGGGCUCCGGAUCCACCAAAGAGCAAAAGGUAAGACGCGCCUUGGGGGCAGGGGGGAGUUGAAUCUCGACAGAAUUUGGGUAAGAAAUCCAAUUAAAAUUUAUUUGUCCAUUGUCUACAAGUCGACAUUUUUUUUAAAUAGAGAAAAACUUAGAUUCGAGACAUAUAUAUUUGAUGAGAGUCCAGUUUAGUUUUUCUUGUUCAUCUUGAUCUCACAAGAUAUCUUAUUAUAUACAAUUUUCAAAUUGUUUUCUGCAAGUCAAAGCAUAAUAUUAUGUUGUGUUCAGUCAUAGAUAUUAUGAUAGUUGAUACAGUCGGUAUAAUUUAUGCAAGAUAUCACUUGUUUCAACUUGAUUCUCACGACAAAAUUUAACUGCCAUGUUCACGACUUUACAUUGGGUGGAUCUUGUGUAAAGUAUGCCGUCGAGCGUAAUACAUCGUGUAUCGUAUUCUGUGUUAUCUUAUUAUGCGUAUCGAUUUUUGUUGUUAUAAGCUUUUUGGAAUACUUUAAAGAGCAUCAAACCGGGAGCUUUUGCUGAUUAAUUUCGGUUAUUAGUAUUUUUAAUAGCUGAAAUCGCUACAUGUCGCUAUCUCCUUUAUAUUAUUGUUUUAGCUGCAUGGCAAAGAAUGAGGAUACACGAUGUACGACCCGUAUAGAGAAAAUUUUGUUUGGUAAAAAAUUGUUUUGUCAAGUUUUGUUCAUCCAUUCAAAUAUAUUCGAAUCAAUUGAGUUGAUCAUAUUGCAUUUCACAACAUCCUUUAAAAUUAGUUGAAAUAUCGCCGAUGCAAGCAAUUUCUAAGAUUGCGGUGCAACUGGCGUUACAGAUUAAUACUUGAUCAUUUUUCAAAACUUGCGCUGCAAUGCGCAGUUAAAAGACCUAUGAACGAUAUAUCCCUUAUUGUUUCUACAUUUUUAUUGAUUGAAAGAAAAGUCAUAGCGUAUCGCGUAGUUUGUUCACAAGCUUGUCUAUAUAACGCAAACUACAAGAACGCAUGAUUAAUAUUCCUUGUUGUAUACAUCUUGUUUUAUAUACAAACAUCAAACCAGCUGUAGUAUAUUAUACUGUCAAACUUAAAAACGACGAUUAAAUUAUAAUUAAAAACAGUAAAAAGAACAAAAUACAUCAAAAGAAUAUGAUAUAUAAGUUAGGCGACUUUAAGAGAAUAAAGCGAGAUAUCAGGGCUAGGACACCUUGGCGUGUGUUGCGUGUGUAUGUAUUAGUUUCACAGGACCGCAAAUCGCACUGAGAGAGAGAGAGAGAGGCAUGGCUAUGAUGUUGCCUUCGCAAACGUCACCCACAAUAUGGGGGGCACAGUUUGAGAGAGAAAGCCGCCAAUUUGCUCAGACAAUGAUCAAUGAUGAGACGUGGUGGGAUGAGAUGAUGGAAGCCAAGGACUCCAAGGAGGAGAGAAGCAUCAGCGACAGACUCGAGAGUUCGGGGUGGCCUCUUUGUUCACCCGAGCCGACGAGAGCCACAGUCCCGGCGCAUCCGCACGGCUCUGCAACAUUUCAAUAGACUCAAUUUCAUAAGAAGUUACUUGCGAAGUGCUGGAAAAGAGGGACAGGCAGAGGAAGAUCGCAUGAUGGCAGAGAUUAAGCUGUUCUCCCUCGCUAGCGACUUGUUCUGGGGACUGUGGAGUAUCGUCAACGCCAAGCUCUCUCAAAUUCCAUUCGGAUACUGGGAUUACGCCGUUGCAAGGCUGAGGCACUACCAGUACCUGAAGGAGAAGAUCCUGGUGUCGGGCCCGCACUUCCCCGACGGCGGGGUCAAGAGAAAAGUGACACAGCUGGAUUGAGGAGGAUCUGCGCUGACGGAAGACGUGAGUGCAAUCCUCUCUGAAUCCCCAAGCAAAACCCAAGCCAGUUGGAGCUCCCGUCAAUGCUCGUCAGCUGAAUCUCGACGAGGACUCUGACUGAGCUGCUAAAUCAAACGAGCGAAGGCGGCCCCAUCUUGCUCUUCGUCGACGACUGACGAGUGCACGACUACGCAAUGUACACGUGCAAAAGGCUCUCUCUAUCUCUACAUACUGAUGCCUCGAGAUAGUCCAGCAUACACGACUGGCCUUCGACGUGUCGCGUCGAGCGAGUCGCAGAGUACGAGGGCAGAGGAACGAUGGAAAGCGUGCAAGCCAGUGAAGACGACGGCGACGAAGACGCGGAAACGAUGAAUGUGAUAUAGGAUUUAAGUCGAUGAUGAUGAAGGAACACACGUGCACACGUGUGGGUUACAAUUAACAACAGUGAUUCGUAUAGAGCACUAACGCCAAUUAAACAAGACGCAGCUCAACUUUGCGUAUAUUGUCUUCUGGG